rnacentral:rRNA from 1 species
AGCGAACGCUGGCGGCAGGCCUAACACAUGCAAGUCGAACGGAUCCUUCGGGAUUAGUGGCGGACGGGUGAGUAACACGUGGGAACGUGCCCUUUGGUUCGGAACAACUCAGGGAAACUUGAGCUAAUACCGGAUGUGCCCUUCGGGGGAAAGAUUUAUCGCCAUUGGAGCGGCCCGCGUCGGAUUAGCUAGUUGGUGGGGUCAAGGCCCACCAAGGCUACGAUCCGUAGGCGGGCUGAGAGGAUGAUCAGCCACAUUGGGACUGAGCCACGGCCCAAACUCCUACGGGAGGCAGCAGUGGGGAAUCUUGCGCAAUGGGCGAAAGGCUGACGCAGCCAUGCCGCGUGAAUGAUGAAGGUCUUAGGAUUGUAAAAUUCUUUCACCGGGGACGAUAAUGACGGUACCCGGAGAAGAAGCCCCGGCUAACUUCGUGCCAUCAGCCGCAGUAAAAC